rnacentral:rRNA from 1 species
GGAGGAUCCAAGCGUUAUCCGGAAUCAUUGGGUUUAAAGGGUCCGUAGGCGGUCUUAUAAGUCAGUGGUGAAAGUUUUUAGCUUAACUAAAAAAUUGCCAUUGAUACUGUUAGACUUGAAUUACUUGGAAGUAACUAGAAUAUGUAGUGUAGCGGUGAAAUGCUUAGAUAUUACAUGGAAUACCAAUUGCGAAGGCAGGUUACUAUGAGUUAAUUGACGCUGAUGGACGAAAGCGUGGGUAGCGAACAGGAUUAGAUACCCUGGUAGUCCACGCCGUAAACGAUGGAUACUAGUUGUUUGGCCGUAAGGUUGAGUGACUAAGCGAAAGUGAUAAGUAUCCCACCUGGGGAGUACGAACGCAAGUUUGAAACUCAAAGGAAUUGACGGGGGCCCGCACAAGCGGUGGAGCAUGUGGUUUAAUUCGAUGAUACGCGAGGAACCUUACCAGGGCUUAAAUGUAGUUUGACCGCUUUGGAAACAGAGCUUUCGCAAGACAGAUUACAAGGUGC